GGGCAGGAAACGAGACCCAGGGCAACCCCCUCCGCUGCGGCGGAACAAAGGAGGCGAGCGCAGCUGCACGCGCAGGGAGGCCCACAGCGUCCCGGGCCCCUCCUCCCCCGCCGCCGCCGGGGCACACCGCACCUGAACCCCACUCCCCAGGACGCCCCAUUGUUCUCCCUCCGCUUUCCUGCCCGGAGGAAGCCACACCGUGUCUUUCCAGGGGGCCAGGAAACAGCUGUGGGCCAGAGGAAUGGAGGGGCUGUGGGUGAACACGAGGACAGCCGAGAUUCGACUCUGCCCACAGACUCACUGACAUAAAAUGAGAAAUACAACAUUUGACAACUCGAAGCCAGCCUGGGGUCACAUUCCGGCAAACAGUGGGAACCAGCAAAGCCAAGGACAGAGAGGUCUUCAGGGAAUACAUGGCUAUGGUGGUUUGAAGACUCCCAUUAGAGAGUGGAUAUUAAUUGCCCUCCUUUUGAAUAUGGUCUGGACUUAGUGAUUUGAUUGUAACAAAUAGAAUACAGCAGAUGUGAUGCUAUGUGACUUCCAAACCUAGGUCAUAAAAGGAGAUGAAGUUUUCACCUGGCUCUCCCUUGGGACACUCACCCUUGGAACCCAGCUGCCAUAUUGUGAGGAAGCUCAAGCCACAGGGAAGGCCAUGUGUAGGUGUUUGGGCUGAUGGUGCCAGCUGAGGACCUGGUCUACUGCCAGUACAACUUAUAUCAAGCAUGUGAGUUGGCGAGCUUUUGAAAGAACUCCAGCCACAGUCACUGACCACGCUGCCUGAGAGACCUAGAGAGAAAACCUAGCUGAGCCAAAUCAGGCCCCGGAAACGUAAGUGAUAAUAAUAAAAGAUUGUCAUCUGGGUGGUUGUUACAUAGCAAUAGACACCUAGAACAGUGACAGAGCUGGAAUUUGAACCCAGAUAGUCUGACUCUAUAGUCUUCACUAUCAAGCACACUACCUCAGACCUUGAUAACCUAGCAUAAUGAAAACCCUGGAGAUCCCAGCCUUCACAAUAGGCAACAUAUGAACCUGCUACCUGGUGACGUGUGUUAGACUCACUUCUCCAUUUUGCUUGUCUGAGUUUAGGUUCCCAAGUGACUGCUUAUAGCAGUUUGGCAGUUCAUGGAACUUCUGACCUCUACUGUCCAGUUCAGCUUUUCAAAAAUAGCAGAAAUGCAGAUGGCAGGUUCAUGAAUAUAAGAUGUAUACAAAUUGAAGAGUGGGGGAAUUCUAUAAACUUUUGAUCUUGGAAGGUGGCCAGAUUUUAGAAAAAGUAGGUUUGAGACAACUAUGUGCUGAGUAGGUCUAUCAAAAUAGCUAGCUACUAGAAGUAAAGUUUUGAAACUCCUGACUCAAGAAAGGGAUAGGACACAGUUAUGUCAGAACAGUUCGGCCUCUAGAAGGACCUCGCAUAGUGAGGACAAUUAAGACUUUCUCCAUGAUUUUAGCAAGUUCAAAAAAGAAAAUAAUAGAAACUGUAGAACUUAUCCUAAUAAACACUAAGAAAAUGAACCAAGUUAUUAGCCAAAAAUAUUUCUAGAGAAAAAUCAUGCUUCUCUUUUAAAAAUACUGUUUACCUAGUUUUCAUAAAUCUCAAAACCCAAGUUUCUGAGGACAUACAGGUUUUAAAACACUUUUACCUUCCUGGCCAUUUUUUUCAAAAACCAAUCAAUCAACAACUUUUGAAAUUAUAAAAAGCAGAUUAAAGUUAUUCCCACAAUUGUCAAGAAUAGAUAAUAGGCUGGGCGCAGUGGCUCACACCUGUAAUCCCAGCACUUUGGGAGGCUGUGGCAGGCGGAUCAUGACGUCAGGAGUUCGAGACCAGCCUGGCCAAUAUGGUGAAAUCCCAUCUCUACUAAAAAUACAAAAAUUAGCCAGGCGUGGUGGCACGCUCCUGUAGUCCCAGCUACUCAGGAGGCUGAGGCAGAAGAAUCACUUGAACCCAGGAGGUGGAGGUUGCAGUGAGCCAAGAUCACGCCAGUGUACUCCAGCCUGGGUGACAGAGCGAGAGUCCAUCUCAAAAAAAAAAAAAAAAAAGAAUAGAUAAUAAAUCCAUCAACUACAAAGGCAUUUUUUACUUUCUCCUCAAUCUAUUUGGAGGAAACAGAAAGAAAUAAAAAGAAGUAGAAAACUAUUAUUGAGAUUUAGGGUGAAAAACAUAAAUUAUCAAAUUACAAGAGUGCAAUAAAAGAAUACAAGAAGUGUGCUUUGCCUCAAUGGAAACAUGCAACAAUUUAAAUUCAUUCAAUUGAAAUCUUGCCAUCCUUGUGGAAAAUACAGAAGUAAAAGCAUAUCUCUAUGUAUCCCAGGAAGGUAAUUACCACUAGGCAUGUAAGACUUAUUUUUUCUUAGUUGGUUUUACUUGAGCCCUUUCAAGAAAAUUAAAAGGAGUUCAACAUUGACAAGAAGACUGACGAAAGAACCAUAUGACUGCCUUUUGGUGUAGCAAACAUAAAAGUGGACUGGAAGUCAUACUUUUAGAUUUUCUCACUGGCUCUGUCUUCAUUCAACUAAGUUUAUGAAGCGGCUCAUACUGUUUGUCCUUAGGUAUUUUACAUCAU
rnacentral:lncRNA from 1 species